GCCCCUGACCGGCGAGAGAAUUGAUCCAGAGCACCGCUCUCCUAAAGCGGGUGUCGCAGGUUCGAAUCCUGCCGGGGGCA
rnacentral:tRNA from 7 species